ensembl:lncRNA
CCCAGUCCCUCCCAGUCCCUCCCAGUCCCCCCCAGUCCCCCCCAGUGCCUCCCAGUCCCUCCCAGUCCCCCCCAGUUCCUCCCAGUCCCCCCCAGUCCCUCCCAGUACCCCCCAGUCCCCCCCAGUGCCUCCCAGUGCCUCCCAGUGCCUCCCAGUCCCCCCCAGUCCCUCCCAGUCCCUCCCAGUCCCUCCCAGUGCCUCCCAGUGCCUCCCAGUGCCCCUUCCCGGUUGGCCUGCAGUGUGGACGCCUGGCUGAGGUUGGAGGGAGCCUCGUCCAUCAGAACGUCCUCCUGAGACUCGUCCUCGGCCGAGCGGCUCACUGGGGACAGGGGGACACGGCCAGGGGUCAGCCUGAUGGCCAGGGGUCACCCUGAUGGUCAGGGGGUCACUCUGAUGGUCAGGGGUCAGCCUGAUGGCCAGGGGGUCACUCUGAUGGUCAGGGGUCAGCCUGAUGGUCAGGCGGUCACUCCGCUGCCCAGCGGUCACUCCGUUCCCCAGCGGUCACUCCGUUCCCCACUGGUCACUCCGUCCAUUCCCCACUGGUCACUCCGUUCCCCAGCGGUCACUCCAUUCCCCACUGGUCACUCCGCCCAUUCCCGCUGGUCACUCCAUUUCCCCACUGGUCCUCCGUAUUCCCCGCUGGUCACCCAUUCCCGCUGGUCACUCCGUUCCCCACUGGUCACUCCGCCAUUCCCACUGGUCACUCCAUUCCCCACUGGUCACUCCGUCCAUUCCCCACUGGUCACUCCGUUCCCCACUGGUCACUCCGUCCAUUCCCCACUGGUCACUCCAUUCCCCACUGGUCACUCCAUUCCCCGCUGGUCACUCCAUUCCCCACUGGUCACUCCGUCCAUUCCCCACUGGUCACUCCAUUCCCCGCUGGUCACUCCAUUCCCCACUGGUCACUCCAUUCCCCACUGGUCACCCCGGCCCAUUCCCCACUGGUCACUCCAUUCCCCGCUGGUCACUCCAUUCCCCGCUGGUCACUCUGCCGUCCCUCACCGAUGAUGGCGCUGUUGCCGUCGGCGCCGUCCCUCUCCAGCAGUUCAUCAAUGAGAUCCUCCAGCUCAUUCUCCACCUGGGGGGGGCACAGGGGGGUUUGGGGGCGCUGGGGGGCACUCGGGGGCACUCGGGGGUUUGGGGAGGGGUCCCUGACCUGCAUCUCCUGCGUGCUGAGCCCCUCGGGCUGCCCGGCCAGCACCACCGCGUCCCCCUCGGCCUCGCCGUCCAUGUCCCCGUCGGCCGCCUCGGCCUGCGCCGCCUCCGCCUCCUCCUCGGGGGCUCGGGGUCCCCGGGGUCCCCUGGGGGGGACAGGGGGGUCACGGGAGGUGUGGGGGGGACAGGGGGGUCCCCCUGCGCUGCCUCCGCGUCCUCCUCGGGGGGCUCAGGGGGGUCAUGGGGUGUGUGGGGACGGGGGGAUCACGAGGGGGUUCCCCCUGGGAGAAGGGGGCAGGUAAAGGACGGGUGGGAGAUGGGGGAAUUGAGGGGCAGUGGGGUGAACUGGGAGGGCUGGGGGUGACACUGGGGGGGUCCAGGGGGCUGUGGGUGACCCUGGGGGGACACUGGGUGACACUGGGGCUGUGGGUGUGACUGUGACCAUAGGGUGACACCAGGAGGCUGUGGGUGACCCUGGGGCUGUGGGUGACCCUGGGGCUGUGGGUGACCCUGGGGUUGUGGGUGUGGGUGACCGUGGGGCUGUGGGUGACCGUGGGGCUGUGGGUGACCCUGGGGCUGUGGCAAUGGGGGUGACCCGGGGCCGUGGGUGACCCGGGGGCUUUGUGGGGUGACCGUGGGGGCUGUGGCGGGUGACCCUGGGGCUGUGGCAAUGGGGUGACCCGGGCGUGGGUGACCGGGGCUGGGUGACCCCGGGGGCUGUGGGUGACCCUGGGGCUGUGGGAUGGGGUGGGGGUGACCGGGGGCCGUGGGUGACCCUGGGGCUGUGGGUGUGGGUGACCCUGGGGCGUGUGGGUGACCCUGGGGCUGUGGGUGACCCUGGGGCUGUGGCAAUGGGGUGACCCGGGGGCCGUGGGUGACCCUGGGGCUGUGGGUGUGGGUGACCGUGGGGCUGUGGGUGACCCGGGGGCUGUGGGUGACCCUGGGGCUGUGGCAAUGGGGUGACCCGGGGGCUGUGGGGUGACCCGGGGCUCCCGGGGGUACCUCCGUCGGGGGGCGCAGCCCCUGCCUCGCGGGCUCCCCCGUUGCCCUCGGCCUUGCUCUUGCUGGAGGAGCCCUUGGCCCCGAAGAGCCCGCUGGGCUGGUUCACGAUGCGCGACAGCGUCUCCAGCGGCUUCAGCGCCGCGUUCACCGUGUUGGCCAUGUUGGGGCUGGGGGGGCGGCGCUGGCACCCCAAACGGCACAGACCACCCCAAAGCCAGCAGGGAUCCCCCCAAACCCAGCAGGGACCUCCCCAAACCCAGCAGGGACCCCCAAAUCCAGCACAGACCCCUCCCCAAAAUCCAGCAGGGACCCAGAACCCAAGGGGAACCCCCA